UUGCCGGUGAGUCCGGUCCGGGUAGCUGUCAGGAGGCCCGGUAGCAGACUGGCGGCUUGGUGGAGAAACCUGCGGAGUCGAAGCCCAGUGUCAAAUGCCCUGGUAGGGGGAGCGACUGUGCGGUCCGUAGCAUCA
rnacentral:ncRNA from 1 species